CGUAUCACCCAAGACAACUUUACGGAGUUGACGAUUGACGGAGCGAAGCGACGUCAAAGCGUUCAUUAAAGUCGAGUUGGCUUAGGGAUACGUUCGUUGGGUAGGGGAGCGUUCUGUAAGCCUGUGAAGGUGUGUCGUGAGGCAUGCUGGAGGUAUCAGAAGUGCGAAUGCUGACAUAAGUAACGAUAAAGCGGGUGAAAAGCCCGCUCGCCGGAAGACCAAGGGUUCCUGUCCAACGUUAAUCGGGGCAGGGUGAGUCGACCCCUAAGGCGAGGCCGAAAGGCGUAGUCGAUGGGAAACGGGUUAAUAUUCCCGUACUUGGUGUUACUGCGAAGGGGGGACGGAGAAGGCUAUGUUGGCCGGGCGACGGUUGUCCCGGUUUAAGCGUGUAGGUGUGUGUUCCAGGUAAAUCCGGUUCACUUUAACACUGAGGCGUGACGACGAGGCACUACGGUGCUGAAGCAACAAAUGCCCUGCUUCCAGGAAAAGCCUCUAAGCAUCAGGUAACACGAAAUCGUACCCCAAACCGACACAGGUGGUCAGGUAGAGAAUACCAAGGCGCUUGAGAGAACUCGGGUGAAGGAACUAGGCAAAAUGGUGCCGUAACUUCGGGAGAAGGCACGCUGACACGUAGGUGAAGUGAUUUACUCAUGGAGCUGAAGUCAGUCGAAGAUACCAGCUGGCUGCAACUGUUUAUUAAAAACACAGCACUGUGCAAACACGAAAGUGGACGUAUACGGUGUGACGCCUGCCCGGUGCCGGAAGGUUAAUUGAUGGGGUCAGCGUAAGCGAAGCUCCUGAUCGAAGCCCCGGUAAACGGCGGCCGUAACUAUAACGGUCCUAAGGUAGCGAAAUUCCUUGUCGGGUAAGUUCCGACCUGCACGAAUGGCGUAAUGAUGGCCAGGCUGUCUCCACCCGAGACUCAGUGAAAUUGAACUCGCUGUGAAGAUGCAGUGUACCCGCGGCAAGACGGAAAGACCCCGUGAACCUUUACUAUAGCUUGACACUGAACAUUGAGCCUUGAUGUGUAGGAUAGGUGGGAGGCUUUGAAGUGUGGACGCCAGUCUGCAUGGAGCCGACCUUGAAAUACCACCCUUUAAUGUUU
rnacentral:rRNA from 1 species